AAAUGCCUCUUAUCACCCCGUCUUGGAACACGGACCAAGGAGUCUAACAUGUGUGCGAGUGCUCGGGGUCAACCCCCCAGCGCGAAAUAAACGUAAAGGUGAACUUGUUCACUUAGGUAGGAUCCUUAGGUGCACUAUCGACCGACCAUGAUCCUCCGGGAGAAAGGUUUGAGUGUGAGCAUACAUGUUGGGACCCGAAAGAUGGUGAACUAUGCUUGAGUAGGGCGAAGCCAGGGGAAACUCUGGUGGAGGUCCGCAGCGAUUCUAACGUGCAAAUUGAUCGUCGAACUUGGGUAUAGGGGCGAAAGACUAAUCGAACUAUCUAGUAGCUGGUUCCCUCCGAAGUUUCCCUCAGGAUAGCUGGAACUUAUACAGUUUUAUCAGGUAAAGCUAAUGAUUAGACGUUCCGGGCUAGAAACUAGCUUGACGUAUUCUCAAACUUUAAAUAGGUAAGAAGUCUUGUGUUACUUAAUUGAACCGAGACAUUGAAUGGAAGUUCUUAGUGGGCCAUUUUUGGUAAGCAGAACUGGCGAUGCGGGAUGAACCGGACGUUGAGUUACGGUGCCAAACUAUUCGCUCAUCUAGAUCCCUCAAAAGGUGUUGAUGCAUACAGACAGCAGGACGGUGGUCAUGGAAGUCGAAAUCCGCUAAGGAGUGUGUAACAACUCACCUGCCGA
rnacentral:rRNA from 1 species